UACGAAGGGGGCUAGCGUUGCUCGGAAUUACUGGGCGUAAAGCGCACGUAGGCGGCUUCUUAAGUCAGAUGUGAAAGCCCCGGGCUUAACCUGGGAACUGCGUUUGAAACUGGGAGACUUGAGUGUGGCAGAGGGGGGUGGAAUUCCACGUGUAGCAGUGAAAUGCGUAGAUAUGUGGAGGAACACCGAUGGCGAAGGCAGCCCCCUGGGUCAACACUGACGCUCAUGCACGAAAGCGUGGGGAGCAAACAGG
rnacentral:rRNA from 1 species